UACGUAGGGGGCAAGCGUUGUCCGGAAUCAUUGGGCGUAAAGAGCGCGUAGGCGGUCCGGUAAGUCCGCUCUGAAAGUCCGGGGCUCAACCCCGGGAGGCGGGCGGAUACUGCCGGGCUAGAGUCCGGAAGAGGCGAGUGGAACUCCUGGUGUAGCGGUGGAAUGCGCAGAUAUCAGGAAGAACACCAACGGCGAAGGCAGCUCGCUGGGACGGAACUGACGCUAAGGCGCGAAAGCGUGGGGAGCGAACAGG
rnacentral:rRNA from 1 species